rnacentral:rRNA from 1 species
GACGAACGCUGGCGGCGUGCCUAAUACAUGCAAGUAGAACGCUGAAGAGAGGAGCUUGCUCUUCUUGGAUGAGUUGCGAACGGGUGAGUAACGCGUAGGUAACCUGCCUUGUAGCGGGGGAUAACUAUUGGAAACGAUAGCUAAUACCGCAUAACAAUGGAUGACACAUGUCAUUUAUUUGAAAGGGGCAAAUGCUCCACUACAAGAUGGACCUGCGUUGUAUUAGCUAGUAGGUGAGGUAACGGCUCACCUAGGCGACGAUACAUAGCCGACCUGAGAGGGUGAUCGGCCACACUGGGACUGAGACACGGCCCAGACUCCUACGGGAGGCAGCAGUAGGGAAUCUUCGGCAAUGGGGGCAACCCUGACCGAGCAACGCCGCGUGAGUGAAGAAGGUUUUCGGAUCGUAAAGCUCUGUUGUAAGUCAAGAACGAGUGUGAGAGUGGAAAGUUCACACUGUGACGGUAGCUUACCAGAAAGGGACGGCUAACUACGUGCCAGCAGCCGCGGUAAUACGUAGGUCCCGAGCGUUGUCCGGAUUUAUUGGGCGUAAAGCGAGCGCAGGCGGUUUGAUAAGUCUGAAGUUAAAGGCUGUGGCUCAACCAUAGUUCGCUUUGGAAACUGUCAAACUUGAGUGCAGAAGGGGAGAGUGGAAUUCCAUGUGUAGCGGUGAAAUGCGUAGAUAUAUGGAGGAACACCGGUGGCGAAAGCGGCUCUCUGGUCUGUAACUGACGCUGAGGCUCGAAAGCGUGGGGAGCGAACAGGAUUAGAUACCCUGGUAGUCCACGCCGUAAACGAUGAGUGCUAGGUGUUGGAUCCUUUCCGGGAUUCAGUGCCGCAGCUAACGCAUUAAGCACUCCGCCUGGGGAGUACGACCGCAAGGUUGAAACUCAAAGGAAUUGACGGGGGCCCGCACAAGCGGUGGAGCAUGUGGUUUAAUUCGAAGCAACGCGAAGAACCUUACCAGGUCUUGACAUCCCGAUGCUAUUUCUAGAGAUAGAAAGUUACUUCGGUACAUCGAUGACAGGUGGUGCAUGGUUGUCGUCAGCUCGUGUCGUGAGAUGUUGGGUUAAGUCCCGCAACGAGCGCAACCCCUAUUGUUAGUUGCCAUCAUUCAGUUGGGCACUCUAGCGAGACUGCCGGUAAUAAACCGGAGGAAGGUGGGGAUGACGUCAAAUCAUCAUGCCCCUUAUGACCUGGGCUACACACGUGCUACAAUGGUUGGUACAACGAGUUGCGAGUCGGUGACGGCAAGCUAAUCUCUUAAAGCCAAUCUCAGUUCGGAUUGUAGGCUGCAACUCGCCUACAUGAAGUCGGAAUCGCUAGUAAUCGCGGAUCAGCACGCCGCGGUGAAUACGUUCCCGGGCCU